rnacentral:rRNA from 1 species
GGGGAAUAUUGCGCAAUGGGGCAAACCCUGACGCAGCAAUACCGCGUGAGUGAAGAAGGUUUUCGGAUCUUAAAGCUCUGUGAUUGGGGAAGAAAAAAAGACGGUACCCAAGAAGAAAGUCCCGGCUAACUACGUGCCAGCAUCCGCGGUAAUACGUAGGGGACAAGCGUUGUCCGGAUUUACUGGGCGUAAAGGGCACGCAGGCGGUUUUUUAAGUCAGAUGUGAAAGGUACCGGCUCAACCGGUGACAUGCAUUUGAUACUGGCGAUCUUGAGUAUGAGAGAGGUAUGUGGAACUCCGAGUGUAGAGGUGAAAUUCGUAGAUAUUCGGAAGAACACCAGUGGCGAAGGCGACAUACUGGCUCAUUACUGACGCUGAGGCGCGAAAGCGUGGGGAGCAAACA